GACGAACGCUGGCGGCGUGCUUAACACAUGCAAGUCGAACGGUAAGGCCCUUCGGGGUACACGAGUGGCGAACGGGUGAGUAACACGUGGGUGAUCUGCCCUGCACUUCGGGAUAAGCCUGGGAAACUGGGUCUAAUACCGGAUAGGACUCCGGACUGCAUGGUCUGGGGUGGAAAGCUUUUGCGGUGUGGGAAGGGCCCGCGGCGUAUCAGCUUGUGGGUGGGGUGAUGGCCUACCAAGGCGACGACGGGUAGCCGGCCUGGGAGGGUGACCGGCCUCACUGGGACUGAGAUACGGCCCAGACUCCUACGGGAGGCAGCAGUGGGGAAUAUUGCACAAUGGGCGCAAGCCUGAUGCAGCGACGCCGCGUGAGGGAUGACGGCCUUCGGGUUGUAAACCUCUUUCAGCAUCGACGAAGCGAAAGUGACGGUAGGUGCAGAAGAAGGACCGGCCAACUACGUGCCAGCCGCCGCAGUAA
rnacentral:rRNA from 1 species